rnacentral:misc_RNA from 1 species
GAUGAAGAACGCAGCGAAAUGCGAUAAGUAAUGUGAAUUGCAGAAUUCAGUGAAUCAUCGAAUCUUUGAACGCACAUUGCGCCCGUCAGUAUUCUGGCGGGCAUGCCUGUUCGAGCGUCAUUACGCCCCUCAAGUCCCCUGUGGACUUGGUGUUGGGGAUCGGCGAGGCUGGUUUUCCAGCACAGCCGUCCCUUAAAUUAAUUGGCGGUCUCGCCGUGGCCCUCCUCUGCGCAGUAGUAAAACACUCGCAACAGGAGCCCGGCGCGGUCCACUGCCGUAAAACCCCCCAACUUUUUAUAGUUGACCUCGAAUCAGGUAGGACUACCCGCUGAACUUAAGCAUAUCAAAGCGGAGGA